GACGAACCGAGCGAACGUUAUUCGGAAUCAUUGGGCUUAAAGGGUGCGUAGGCGGCGCGGAAAGUUGGGUGUGAAAUCCCUCGGCUCAACCGAGGAACUGCGCCCAAUACUACCGUGCUUGAGGGAGAUAGAGGUGAGCGGAACUUAGGGUGGAGCGGUGAAAUGCGUUGAUAUCCUAAGGAACACCGGUGGCGAAAGCGGCUCACUGGAUCUCUUCUGACGCUGAGGCACGAAAGCUAGGGUAGCGAACGGG
rnacentral:rRNA from 1 species